rnacentral:lncRNA from 1 species
CAACCACUGUGAUUAUUAUUAUUUGACCAUGUUGGUCAUUUAUGAACAUUUGAACAUCUUGGCCAUGUUCUGUUAUAAUCUCCACCCAGCACAGCCAGAAGAGAACUGGCCACCCCUCAUAGCCUGGUUCCUUUCUAGGUUUCUUCCUAGGUUUUGGCCUUUCUAGGGAGUUUUUCCUAGCCACCGUGCUUCUACACCUGCAUUGCUUGCUGUUUGGGGUUUUAGGCUGGGUUUCUGUACAGCACUUUGAGAUAUAAGGCUGAUGUAAGAAGGGCUAUAUAAAUACAUUUGAUUUGAUUUGAUGAUUACGUAAUGAACCGAUGUGUCCGACGCUAUGCUGGUUGCGUGGUUACCUCGUAGCGGUCGCGAAGGAAGGAGGACGCCGGAAGUUCUAGUUCUAUUUCAGCUCAGAAGCGCUCGCUCAGUCCGCGCAAAAUGAUUACCUCAGAAUUGCUCUCCAAGGAGGGUGUUUUUGACGGUGACAACCUGCUGCUUCAGAGGACCGAAAAGACUGGAAAGAAAACACUAUUUCGUUAUCAUAUAUUUGUAUUUAUAUAAGAAAGUAUUGUUAAAUAGGAAUAAAGAAUUUAAGCAUUUUUUUGAUUGAUGUUAUAUUGUCACUGCUAGCUAACAUUAUUUAUGUAUAUCAGCCAGACAGCUUUAUUUAGCUAACGUUAUCUAAGUUAGCUAGCUAACGUUUAGUGUUAUUAUAGCUGCUUUUUGUUUGCAUGUAGCUUGCACUUCAAUGGCAUCCCUCGAGGAGAUGUUAUUGUAUUUUUCCAACCAGGCGAAGUACUAUGAAGACACACUGAUCUCGACAAGAGGCGCAACAUUCAUAGGGGGCAGAGAAAUGCACAAUUCAGGGUCAGUACUUGUCUAGCCUGCCAGAAGUUUAAGAGGGUGAAGACUGUGGCGCCGAAGUUGAAGCCCAUCAAAAUUGUUUCACCAUGGCACAUGAUCAGCUGGGCACUUGGCACCAUUUUCCAAUCCCGAUUCCAGUCCCUGUUCUGGGUCCAUUCUCCCAAGAUGUCCACACCCUACACAACAGAGGUCAGCGUCCACUGCUUCUGUCAGGAGAUACGUGAGUGAAGCCCUCCUGGUUUUGACCCUUGCCUGUCCUGACGCCGAUUCCGCCUGCCUGACCACACUUCCUGUUCUGACCUCGAGCAUGCCUAUCCCCUUGUACUGUUUGGACUCGGACCUGUUCACUGAACCCCUGCCUGUCCUGACCUCGAGCCUGCCUAUCGCCUGGUACUGUUUGGACUCUGACCUGGUUUAUGAACUCUCACCUAUCCCCGACCUGCCUUUUGCCUACCCCUUUUGGUUUAAUAAAUAUUGGAGCUCAACC